ACGCUAGCGGCAGGCUUAACACAUGCAAAUCGAGGGGUAUAUUUCUUCGGAGAUAGAGACCGGCGCACGGGUGCGUAACGCGCAUGCAAUCUGCCUUUCACAGAGGGAUAGCCCAGAGAAAUUUGGAUUAAUACCUCAUAGUAUUAUAGAAUGGCAUCAUUUUAUAAUUAAAGUCACAACGGUGAAAGAUGAGCAUGCGUCCCAUUAGCUUGUUGGUAAGGUAACGGCUUACCAAGGCAACGAUGGGUAGGGGUCCUGAGAGGGAGAUCCCCCACACUGGUACUGAGGCACGGACCAGACUCCUACGGGAGGCAGCAGUGAGGAAUAUUGGACAAUGGGCGCAAGCCUGAUCCAGCCAUGCCGCGUGCAGGAUGACGGUCCUAUGGAUUGUAAACUGCUUUUGUACGAGAAGAAACACUGAUUCGUGAAUCAGCUUGACGGUAUCGUAAGAAUAAGGAUCGGCUAACUCCGUGCCAGCAGCCGCGGUAAUACGGAGGAUCCAAGCGUUAUCCGGAAUCAUUGGGUUUAAAGGGUCCGUAGGCGGUUUAGUAAGUCAGUGGUGAAAGCCCAUCGCUCAACGGUGGAACGGCCAUUGAUACUGCUGAACUUGAAUUAUUAGGAAGUAACUAGAAUAUGUAGUGUAGCGGUGAAAUGCUUAGAGAUUACAUGGAAUACCAAUUGCGAAGGCAGGUUACUACUAAUUGAUUGACGCUGAUGGACGAAAGCGUGGGGUAGCGAAC
rnacentral:rRNA from 1 species